UACAGAGGUCUCAAGCGUUGUUCGGAUUCAUUGGGCGUAAAGGGUGUGUAGGUGGCGCGCUAAGUCGGGUGUGAAAUUUCGGAGCUUAACUCCGAAACUGCAUUCGAUACUGGCGUGCUUGAGGACUGGAGAGGAGACUGGAAUUCAUGGUGUAGCAUGAAAUGCGUAGAGAUCAUGAGGAAGACCAGUGGCGAAGGCGGGUCUCUGGACAGUUCCUGACACUGAGACACGAAGGCCAGGGGAGCAAACGGG
rnacentral:rRNA from 1 species